AUUGAACGCUGGCGGCAGGCCUAACACAUGCAAGUCGAGCGGAUGAAGGGAGCUUGCGCCUGGAUUCAGCGGCGGACGGGUGAGUAAUGCCUAGGAAUCUGCCUGGUAGUGGGGGACAACGUUUCGAAAGGAACGCUAAUACCGCAUACGUCCUACGGGAGAAAGCAGGGGACCUUCGGGCCUUGCGCUAUCAGAUGAGCCUAGGUCGGAUUAGCUAGUUGGUGAGGUAAUGGCUCACCAAGGCGACGAUCCGUAACUGGUCUGAGAGGAUGAUCAGUCACACUGGAACUGAGACACGGUCCAGACUCCUACGGGAGGCAGCAGUGGGGAAUAUUGGACAAUGGGCGAAAGCCUGAUCCAGCCAUGCCGCGUGUGUGAAGAAGGUCUUCGGAUUGUAAAGCACUUUAAGUUGGGAGGAGGGGUUGUAGAUUAAUACUCUGCAAUUUUGACGUUACCGACAGAAUAAGCACCGGCUAACUCUGUGCCAGCCGCCGCCGUAAUAC
rnacentral:rRNA from 1 species